rnacentral:rRNA from 1 species
UACGGAGGGGACUAGCGUUGUUCGGAAUUACUGGGCGUAAAGCGCACGUAGGCGGAUUUGUAAGUCAGGGGUGAAAUCCCGGGGCUCAACCUCGGAACUGCCUUUGAUACUGCAAAUCUCGAGUCCGGAAGAGGUGAGUGGAAUUCCUAGUGUAGAGGUGAAAAUUCGUAGAUAUUAAGGAAGAACACCAGUGGCGAAGGCGGCUCACUGGUCCGGUACUGACGCUGAGGUGCGAAAGCGUGGGGAGCAA